rnacentral:rRNA from 1 species
AGUGAACGCUGGCGGUAGGCCUAACACAUGCAAGUCGAACGGCAGCACAGUAAGAGCUUGCUCUUACGGGUGGCGAGUGGCGGACGGGUGAGGAAUACAUCGGAAUCUACUUUUUCGUGGGGGAUAACGUAGGGAAACUUACGCUAAUACCGCAUACGACCUACGGGUGAAAGCAGGGGAUCUUCGGACCUUGCGCGAUUGAAUGAGCCGAUGUCGGAUUAGCUAGUUGGCGGGGUAAAGGCCCACCAAGGCGACGAUCCGUAGCUGGUCUGAGAGGAUGAUCAGCCACACUGGAACUGAGACACGGUCCAGACUCCUACGGGAGGCAGCAGUGGGGAAUAUUGGACAAUGGGCGCAAGCCUGAUCCAGCCAUACCGCGUGGGUGAAGAAGGCCUUCGGGUUGUAAAGCCCUUUUGUUGGGAAAGAAAAGCAGCAGGUUAAUACCCCGCUGUUCUGACGGUACCCAAGGAAUAAGCACCGGCGAACUUCGU